CCCAUUGACUCUAAUGGUUGACAUGCUUCAUUCCCUCCCUUUCACAGCCUCUACCUUACCACCAAGAGAGUGGAGGACAUCGUCCUGAGGCUCGUCUCCUUGCGCCAGGCCUUCACUGUGAGUGGACCCACUGUUCUUUUUGUCUCUGUGACUUCUUGUUCUGUCUCCAAGAGGAAGAGGUCUCACCCUAACUCUUCCCUAGACCCUGCUUGGUUCCACCCUGAGCAGGAACCAUCUGUUUGUGGCAGGAAAGGCCCUCCUGGGCGGCCUUGUUCAGGCCAACCACAUGGUAACUCACUAACUCAUUCUCUUUCAAGGGAAAGAGAGCGUCCCUGAGGGGAAAUGUGUUCUGUUCACUAAGAUGCUCUUUUCUUUGUCAUAGGACGAGGCCAAAUUCAUCCGUACCUAUAACGACUUUGUGGACUACCUGAGUGACCCCUCCAAGCGGAAUGACAUUGAGAGGGAGCUGGCUGAGGCAAAGGUGAGUUCAUUAACUCUUUCAAGUCUCACUGAGUUCUUCCACAUGCAUGUCUUUUAUACAUCACAGUAGCUGAUCUAUAUGAAAUCAUUCCUAUUUUCUACAAAUGUGUUUUCUUGUCCUAGAUCCAUCAUGUGAACAUGAUAGAUGUCCUCUUUGAGCUGGUGCUGUUUGGGAUGAUGACAGCUCAGAAGUCCCUGAUGGUGCACCCUGGUGGGUUCGUGGAGCGUCUGUACGCUCUCCUGUCCUCCUUCCUGCCCACUGCUGCCAACAUGGAGCCAGAGGCUGAUAGAAUCCUACUGCUGCUCAAUGUAAGAGUCAAGAGGUUACUUCCUGUUUACUUCCAUAUUCUUAGUGUACUUCCUUUUGACUUCCUUAUUCAUGGUUAACCAGCUUUCAGUAUUUCUAAUUGUCUCUCUCCUCUUGAUAAGCUAGUAACUCAGAGCCAUUUUCUAUGUGUUGUGUGGUGUUCUCUUCAGGGCGGACUGAUGGCUCUGCUAGAUGACAUGUUUGGCCAGCAGCUGGCCUGGUAUUUUAACUCCGAGUCUCUGGUCACUGAGCUCUCCAUCCUCCUGGAGUACCACUUGGAGAACCUCAUGGCCAGCAUGUAGUCCUACUGCAGGGACCAUACUCCUUUCUCCUUCUCUCUCUCUUAUGAAGGAAUUGAGGACUUGAAGUGCUUUGUUGAACCCUGAUUAGUUAACACCCAUUAAUUUAAUGUAUUCUCUUGUUUUCUCUCCCCACAGGAUUAUUGUGACACUUUGCCACCCAACAGGGAUCUAGACACCAAUGCACUACAUUACUUUGCACUGAA
rnacentral:lncRNA from 1 species